AGGCGCGUAGCUCAGGUGGCUAGAGCGCUACCUUGACACGGUAGAGGUCGGCGGUUCAAGUCCGCCCGCGCCUACCA
rnacentral:tRNA from 1 species